rnacentral:lncRNA from 7 species
GAGGAGCAACAAGCUGGAGUAGCUAGCAACUCGAGGGAUGAAGACUAGAUGAUGAUAGGCUUUCUCCUUCUGUGCCACUCAUAAAACUGCUAGCUAGCUAGCACCUUGUUGCCAAGCAAUGCAAGAUCUCUCUGCUGAGAUCGAUCUGAAUACCUAAAAUAUCUAUCCGACCGGUCAUCAUCUCGAUCUAAAGCAGGAUAACAAGAUGGCAAAAACAUUCGACGUGGUUUCAGCGCACGGCCAUCAGCUCAAAAUGGCGACCUUCCUCUUCUACGCAAACAAAACUAUCAUCAAAGCUUCGCACACAAGCUUGCAGGGGUCACAGUAUCAUCCUAGCCUAUGAACCGGUGUUAUCCUAAUUGAGCUUUUCUUUUCGUCAAAACAUCCUUGACCCCUCUUCCCUAGAGGUUGGCUCUUACCUCCGUUUUUCUGGUUUCUCGUGCCAGAAUUAACGUUCUUGACCUUGUAAGGCCCUCCUUCUAUGUCUACAUCCUCCUCGCACCUGAUGUUUCUUUCUUUCUUGUUACAUGCGGGAUCAGUCUCAUCAUUGCCAUGUUUGCCAGACUCCCGCGUCUACCUACUUUCUGCUCCAUUCUAUCCCUCCUGAGCUAGUUGUUGAUCCCAUGUAAUAAUAACCAUGUUUGGUUGAUAUAAAAAAAUGUUAGUUUUGUU